AUCCCUAUAGCGUAAUGGAUAGCGGAUUGGACUUCUAAUCCAAAGUUCGUGGAUUCUAAUCCCACCUGGGAUG